CCUACGGGAGGCAGCAGUGAGGAAUAUUGGUCAAUGGGCUUACGCCUGAACCAGCCAAGUCGCGUGAGGGAAGACUGCCCUAUGGGUUGUAAACCUCUUUUGUCAGGGAGCAACGCAGGCUACGUGUAGCCGGACUGAGAGUACCUGAAGAAAAAGCAUCGGCUAACUCCGUGCCAGCAGCCGCGGUAAUACGGAGGAUGCGAGCGUUAUCCGGAUUGAUUGGGUUUAAAGGGUGCGUAGGCGGAAUGCCAAGUCAGCGGUAAAAUCGCGGGGCUCAACCUCGCUCCGCCGUUGAAACUGGCGUUCUUGAGUGGGCUAGAAGUAUGCGGAAUGCGUGGUGUAGCGGUGAAAUGCAUAGAUAUCACGCAGAACUCCGAUUGCGAAGGCAGCAUACCGGCGCCCAACUGACGCUGAAGCACGAAAGCGUGGGUAUCGAACAGGAUUAGAUACCCCAGUAGUC
rnacentral:rRNA from 1 species